rnacentral:lncRNA from 1 species
CGGCGGAGAGGCGGGCGGCGGCGGCGCGGCGGAGAGGCGGGCGGCGGCGGCGCGGCGGAGAGGCGGGCGGCGGCGGCGCGGCGGAGAGGCGGGCGGCGGCGGCGCGGCGGAGAGGCGGGCGGCGGCGGCGCGGCGGAGAGGCGGGCGGCGGCGGCGAGGCGGGCGGCGGCGGCGAGGCGGUCGGCGGCGGCGCGGCGGAGAGGCGGACAGCGGCGGAGAGGCGGACAGCGGCGGAGAGGCGCACAGCGGCGGAGAGGCGCACAGCGGCGGCGAGGCGCACAGCGGCGGCGCAGGCGCGGAGAGGCGCAGGCCCAGGCUCCACUCCCCAGCUGUGAAAGGAACAUACAUAUGAUAGUUGAGAAAGACACAUAUUCUGAUCAUGAAGAAAUAAACACAAGUUAAAUAUGACUAAGCAGAAAGAUGGAAGGACCAGGAAUGGUGAUGCUAACUUGGAACCACGAUGCAGGCUCUAAACUCCUCUACAAUCAUCCUCCCUUGUGAGAAAAAUACCUACUGUUUAAGACAGAAUUCAUCAAGUAGCAGAAGUAAUGGAAGGGCCAAGGGGAAGAAAGAUGGACAAAACCUGAAAAUUGAAAGUACAAUAAAAUGAAAAUUACAAAUGAAAACCAGUAUGCCUGAGUUAUACAUGACUGUUUAGUAGAGUGUCUUCAUGUGGGUUAAAGAAGAAAAGGAAAUACCAGCUGGAAUCAGCAGAACAGAUUUAGCACUUGACCCUUGGAUACUUUUCAUUCUAUUUAUCUAUCAUAUUUUUAUUGGUUUGUAUUCCAUUGACUACUAUAUGCACCGACCCUCAGCAAAUUCAUUCAAUAGAGAGGAGAGAUUAUAUCUCCACUGUAUCAGUGGAGCUGCUUAGGAACAUUUCUCCCGCUUCUUGCAUGUAUUUUGUCCUAUUUGUACAUUGUAUUUUAUGAGCUGCUUUAGAAUAGUAGAAUAACUUUCCUUUAUAUGGUAUAGAACUUUUGAUAUAUCUCAAAUAAAUUUUUUAAAAAUGA